GCAGACAAAUUCCAGCCAAUCAGCAGCAGUCCCUCCCUCCCAGACCCUCCCACUUCCUGGACAGCAUCCAUUUUGAAGCUGCAUUCUUAGUGAGCUGUCCAGGAGGUGGGAGGGUCUGGGAGGGAGGGUCUGCUGCUGAUUGGCUGGAAUGUGUCUG
rnacentral:miRNA from 1 species